GGCGCUUUGGUGGAGUGGUUAACACGUGGGCCUGCUAUGUACCAUUCCUGGUAACAGCAAAGCUCAUGCCUUCGGGCGCGUAGGUUCGAAUCCUGCAGGCGUCG